AUGCACAACAAAUGGCAGAGCAUGGAUUGGGCCCAGGGACUCUGCACUUGGGGACCAUGCUGUCCCCAUGACCCCUGGUGCCCGAGGUUGGUAAAGGACAUGGGGGAGGGGUGGAAGUCAGUGCAACUGUUAAGAUGCUGCCUGGGGAGCCGGUGCCCUGAGUCAGAGUGCGAGGUUCGAGUCAUGGCAGCUGCCAUCGCCUUCCUGCAGUCGCACCCUGGGGACAGCCCCUGCCACCCGUGUGGAGGACCUGGAUGGAGUUCUGGGCUCCCGGCUUCAGCCUGGCCCUGCCCUGCUGUUGCGGGUAUUGGGGGGGGGGGGCGAGAGGUGACCAGUAGAUGGGAGGCGGUCUCACUCUCGGUCUGUACUGAGGUCAGAGUGAGAUGGGAGGGGUCACCUGCUCCCCCAGGGCCCAGUGCUGUGUACCGAGGUCAGAGUGAGAGUGAGAUGGGAGGGGUCACCCUCCUCCCCCAGGGUCCACUCCUCCUCCUGCUCCACUGGCGACUCCUGGUUUUUCCACAAGGCUGCAUCUGAUGCCUUCAAGAUGGGAAGAAAUCCAGUCUGAAAGCAAGUAAGCAAAAGGACUACAACUAAUGACUCCCAUCUCACAGAUGGAAGGAUAACUAUAGAGUUACAGGGAGUUACUCAAGGCAGCACGGGAAUAAGCGAUAAGCCCGAGAUCACAACCUUACUACCUCGUGCCUUGCCCCUUGGCUGUGCGGUGACGGGGCUUGCCACUGG
rnacentral:lncRNA from 1 species